CGAGUCCGAGUCUCCACGGAGACGAAGUGGCGGUCAUCCAGCUUCCUAGAAAAGCUCUAACCACGUUAAUCUUUAGUUGCCUGUACCCGAAACCGACACAGGUAGGGGGGUAGAGAAUACCAAGGGGCGCGAGAUAACUCUCUCUAAGGAACUCGGCAAAAUGACCCCGUAACUUCGGGAGAAGGGGUACCACUGAGAAGUGGUCGCAGUGAAGAGGCCCAGGCGACUGUUUACCAAAAACACAGGUCUCCGCCAAGUCGCAAGACGAAGUAUGGGGGCUGACGCCUGCCCAGUGCCGGAAGGUUAAGGAAGUGGGUUAGGGAUUCGUCCCGAAGCUGACGACUGAAGCCCCGGUGAACGGCGGCCGUAACUAUAACGGUCCUAAGGUAGCGAAAUUCCUUGUCGGGUAAGUUCCGACCCGCACGAAAGGCGUAACGAUCUGGGCGCUGUCUCGGAGAGAGGCUCGGCGAAAUAGGAUUGUCUGUGAAGAUACGGACUACCUGCACCUGGACAGAAAGACCCUAUGAAGCUUUACUGUAGCUUGGAAUUGGGUUCGGGCUUGGUUUGCGCAGGAUAGGUGGGAGGCGAAGAAGAUUUGCUUGUGGGUGAAUCUGAGCCAACGGUGAGAUACCACUCUAACCAGGCUAGAAUUCUAACUUCAACCCGUCAACCGGGGGAAGGACAGUUUCAGGUGGGCAGUUUGACUGGGGCGGUCGCCUCCUAAAAGAUAACGGAGGCGCACAAAGGUUCCCUCAGGCUGGUUGGAAAUCAGCCAACGAGUGCAAAGGCAGAAGGGAGCUUGACUGCGAGACCUACAAGUCAAGCAGGGUGGAAACACGGUCUUAGUGAUCCGACGGCACCGAGUGGAAGGGCCGUCGCUCAACGGAUAAAAGUUACUCUAGGAUAACAGGCUGAUCUCCCCCAAGAGUUCACAUCGACGGGGAGGUUUGGCACCUCGAUGUCGGCUCAUCGCAACCUGGGGCGGAAGUACGUCCCAAGGGUUGGGCUGUUCGCCCAUUAAAGCGGUACGUGAGCUGGGUUCAGAACGUCGUGAGACAGUUCGGUCCAUAUCCGGUGUAGGCGCAAGAACAUUGAGAGGAGUCUUCCUUAGUACGAGAGGACCGGGAAGAACGCACCGCUGGUGUACCUGUUAUCGUGCCAACGGUAAACGCAGGGUAGCCAAGUGCGGAGUGGAUAACCGCUGAAAGCAUCUAAGUGGGAAGCCCACCUCAAGAUGAGUGUUCUCAUGGAGUAAUCCAGUAAGGUCACGGGAAGACGACCCGUUGAUAGGCGGUAGGUGGAAGUUCAGCAAUGGAUGAAGCCGAGCCGUACUAACAGACCGAGGGCUUGACC
rnacentral:rRNA from 1 species